rnacentral:rRNA from 1 species
GAUGAACGCUGGCGGCGUGCCUAAUACAUGCAAGUCGAGCGAACAGAUGAGGAGCUUGCUCCUCUGACGUUAGCGGCGGACGGGUGAGUAACACGUGGAUAACCUACCUAUAAGACUGGGAUAACUUCGGGAAACCGGAGCUAAUACCGGAUAAUAUAUUGAACCGCACGGUUCAAUAGUGAAAGACGGUUUUGCUGUCACUUAUAGAUGGAUCCGCGCCGCAUUAGCUAGUUGGUAAGGUAACGGCUUACCAAGGCAACGAUGCGUAGCCGACCUGAGAGGGGGAUCGGCCACACUGGAACUGAGACACGGUCCAGACUCCUACGGGAGGCAACAGUAGGGAAUCUUCCGCAAUGGGCGAAAGCCUGACGGAGCAACGCCGCGUGAGUGGUGAAGGUCUUCGGAUCGUAAAACUCUGUUAUUAGGGAAGAACAAAUGUGUAAGUAACUAUGCACGUCCUGACGGUACCUAAUCAGAAAGCCACGGCUAACUACGUG